UACGAUGUUCAAGUACACCUUCUUCUGUCUGUUCGUUUGCGUAAUUGUUCUGGAAGUCCUGGUUGGCGCACAGGAAGGAGGACUCGCACAGAUCGUAGGGGGAUUUGACGGUGCAUUAGACGAAAGCGCAAAAGAUGAACUUAGACGACUACAGAAAAUGAGAGACGGUACCUUAGACGAUGUUACCAAGGAUCUGGAGAAGGCCUUUGGACGUUAAGGAAGGAAGGUCAUCGCACAAUGAACAACGAAAUGAAAGUGUGUAUUCAAGAAUGGACGUUCGACGACGCCUUCAACACCAUGGAGAAUUAUACUUCGUUUACCGUCGAAGCGCUGUAAUCACCGAGGCAAUCCGCCUCAAUCGUCCAGUUAAAAUAAAUACGACGUGAGUGCUCUCGC